GAAUUGACCAGCUGACCAGCUGGCUAAGUACCCAAAUGUGUGUGGUGAGGGUGAGACUUAAAAACAGAGCUCAACAUCUGAAAUCUAGAAAAAUUUGGUGCCAGUGUUCUUCACACGAAGUUAGUGAUGCACUGCCAGUAUUGCAACAGCAUCCUUCUGGGACACAUUUCUAAUGCUUCACAGCAGGAACUCUUUCUGGCAGCUUUGUGAACCAAGAAAGGCAAUAUUCUUCUGGGAAACAUUGCCUUGAGAGACACAACAUGAAUUACAACAUCAUGAUGUAUUCAGCCAGAUGUCUGCAAGACAGAAAAUCACGUGACUGAGCAAGGCAUGUGAAUGUUCUUAAAGGGGGAGAAAUAGAAAAGAAAAACCAAACAUGCAUCAGAUAUUUCCUUUUUGCCUCACAUUAUUCCCAAUCAUAUGGAUGCCUUAUGUUUAUAACUUGCCAAUUAUGAAUUUCCCCUCAUGUAUAUUAAACUUAAGGAUCACUAUAAUUUUAAUCUUGUUAACAAAUUUGCUGUUUGUCUAUAUCUAUUUAGGAGAUUAGCAUCCAGGGCUCAUUAGGUAUCUGUUAGGAUGGUUGUUAGGGCAUAGUGAGAAAUUAUUUUUUGGCACUCACAACAAAUGUAUAUGGAUAUACAUUUAGUUUCUUGGGAUCCUAGUCCAUGUAUUUGAAAAGUAUAUGUACUUGACGAUCCUGAGCAAAACUGGAAUCAUUUGAAUUAAUUCAUCUUUUUUUUUCACAAUUGGCAAUCUCACGCUCAGUAUGUUAAUACAUAUUCACUAAAUAAUCAUAGUGUAGUUUGUAGUUUCUCAGUUGCACAGAAAUGGUUGGGUUCUUUCAGGGAUCCUUACUUGAAGAUAAGGAUCAGAGCACUAUUAAGGAAAGGGAGGAUAAUCCUGAGGUGUGGGAGGGGAUGGUCAUGGAUUUACCUAUUUUUACUAUUUGUUUUAUUUACUCUAUUUCUAACAACCCAAUCACUUCUCCAGUGGCAAAGGCCUUUGGCAUUUGGUAGGCACCCAAUGCAUAAUUGCUGAUGAAAGAAUGAAUUCUAUUGCCAGGGCAUCCAUUUCAUUUUCUCUGCAGCCACACCAUCAGCAUGGCAACUGCCCCGACAGCACAUUCUUUUCAUGAUUGUUUUAAAUUUCUUAUGUUAUUUUCCGUAAGGUAGUGGUCUAUAUAAUUUUUAGUCAUGCACUCCUAUUAAUUAAGUUUUGUGCAUGCAGUCUCUAAAUACAUAUUUUACAAAUAAGAUAUUCUGUUGCUUUAUAAAAUAUAGUUAAUCAGAAGAAUGAGAUUGUUAAUAACAAUUCUAAUAAUUAUUUCUCCAUUUUCAUGGACUGUCUUGCUAACCUUCCUUGCACACUGUAUUCUGGAGAACCUUGGCUGUUGAAAGCAUAAAGGAAGAAGAAUGCAGUUUUUGCCUUGGGGAGCUUACAUCUUAUCUGGUAUACCAGAUAAACACAAUGAAGGACAACACAACGGUAAACAAGGAUUCUUUGAUUCUUCGAUCCAAAGAACUCUGUUGUCUGUAGGAGACGUGGAGGAGGAGUACACACAGAAGAAAGGCCUUUUCCAGGCCAGUGGCCUUGCUUGUUUUAUGAUUUGACAUCUGAAGCCACUCAGACUUGUCUGUCUAUAGAACUAGUGUGCUUCCUUCAGUUAGGCACCAGCCUUAUAUAAUCAUCCUAUGUGUGGACAACUGAGAAAGAAGAUACCCAAUAAAAUAACAUUCUUAAUAAAUCUUCAAAGG